rnacentral:rRNA from 1 species
UACGUAGGGUGCAAGCGUUGUCCGGAAUUAUUGGGCGUAAAGAGCUCGUAGGCGGUUUGUUGCGUCGGCUGUGAAAUCCCGAGGCUCAACCUCGGGUCUGCAGUCGAUACGAGCAAACUAGAGUGUUGCAGGGGGAGACUGGAAUUCCUGGUGUAGCGGUGAAAUGCGCAGAUAUCAAGGGAGGAACACCGGUGGCGAAGGCGGGUCUCUGGGCAACAACUGACGCUGAGGAGCGAAAGCGUGGGAGCGAACAGG